GGAACUACUAGUCCCCCUGCCUUAGCUUCCCCAGGGCUGGGCUCACUGGUGUGUAUCAGCCAGUACAGCCUGCACUAGAUAAGGCCAGCUGCAGAUGCCAGCUUAGAUAAAUGGCUUCUCCUGCAGGAACAUAUUCUCUCUGCCCUGCUGCCCUACCCCCACAACCCCAGAAGAAUCCCUUUGUUAGUUACACAUGAGCACAUGCCAGGAGCAGUUCAUCUAAAUGAGCAACUGCUUUCUGGGAGUAGACCCGACAGAAGAGAAGCUGGGCAAAGCUGCACUUGAGUGCCAAGCCUUGGCUGCAGAAAGAAAAGCCAGAUUGUUUCCAGGGACCAGUGAUGGACAAGCACCAAGUUGAGGCAAAGUGGCCUCGAGCUCUUCGCCAUUGCCCAGUGCUCGAUGCUUGGCAUCCUUCCUCGGAGCAUGGGAGAUGAUGGCUCUGGGGAAAUUCCAGUCUGCAACUCAUUGAAGCAGGAUAAACAGAACUCCUGCUCCAGAAGACUCUAUCCUGAACAAGAGGCUCUUGGAAUCUUCUUGGAGGUUUUGAUGUCCACAUAAACUAUAAACAACGGGGUUGGGAGAUACUUGGUGCAGCAGGCUGUGACCAUCAAGGUCAAAGGACGGGCAUAAGGGACAUCAUCUUAGACUUUUAUCCAUAAAGUGACUUUGGACAGCUCUGAGGAGCAACAAAGAUUUUGUUGAGUGGCCCCCCAAAAAAACUGUGAUGUAACUGUCUUUGUCUCUUUUAAAAUACAAUGCAUAAAGAAACAAGAGAUGCAAUCAAAUAUCUCAUGUGCCACAUUUUGCUUUGUAAACCCUACAUGUGUAACUCAGGAUAAAGCCGCCCUGCUGUCUGCUUAAGAGAAAGAAUGCUAAGAUUGCAAGGAAAGCUAUCUUAACAGCAGCAAAAGCCCGUCUUAACCACGUGUAACACAUUAUCCAAAUGAGGAUGUUUCCCAACAUUGCGUAACCAGAGAUUCCAGAAGUCCACUGGACACAGAGGCAAACCUGGCCGGCUUGCAUGUGUCUGUUCCACUUUGGGAAGUUAUUAAAAUGCCUUGUUAGACUUACUGGCUAGCCUACAAUUUUAACUUCACCCUAACUUCAAAAGGCAUUAAUAGCAAUAAGCCGCAGUUUAUCUAAUUGGGGGUGUAUCACCUAACGGGGCAAAGAAGCCACCACACCAGCUGCCAAUGGACAGAACAGGCUAGUUUUAGUAACAUGUUUAUAUGGGAAGUCAGAUUCUGUGCAAGAAAUGGACAGAUCCUUUGCUCUCAGCUGGCGAAGCGCAUCCCAUAAUCCUUGCUGCUUACUUCAGAACCUGACAUGUUCUAGCCCCAGGGACUGACAGAACCUUGGACCCUUGUGGGGUACUUGCUUGUCUCAAAUGACAUGUGCUCAGGGACACAAUUGUGUCGGUAACACUGCUUGAAGUUAAUAUUUUAGUUUAAAAUGUGUAACAUCAAGGUGUAAGUAAGAUCUGGGUGAAUUCUGAUGUUCCCUCAGCCCUGCUCCAUCACCUACAAUGAACAUGCUGAUUUCCUGCUUGUGCAAAGACAGUCUCCCUUCCCUACCUGUCACAUACACUAGGCAGCGCUUCUCAUGCUGUGUCAGAGUCACCUGGAGAAGCUGUUAGAAUAGGGACCCAGAGCCCAGAUCUCAGCAAUCCCAAUUCUCCAGGGUUAGGAGAGGAUAGAGGUUGUUCAUUUAAGGUCGUCUCAGGUGAGACUAGCUCUACUGUACGAACAGCAUUGAGUCUGUACAAACAUAAAUUCUAUGAGGCAUGUGACACAUCUGCCUCACAGAAGAGAGUGCAGAAGGCUACAGUAGGACAAGGGGUGUCACACAGGGUGUCCUCCUCCAUCAUCAGCUGGUGGCAGGGUCUGGAUCCACAGAGGCUGUGUGCCAGUCUCAGACCUGGCUUCCAAACAGAGAACAAAUGUGGGGAACAGUGAGAUUAGGGCAAGAGCCAAUGCCUUGAAAAUGAACAUGAGACUGGAAGAGUAGGGCACUUGGAAGACUAGGCCGUGAGACUGUGGCUGUCCUAGAGAGAGAGAGAGAGCACUGUCCUGGGGAGCACUGUCCUAGGGAGCACUGUCCUGGGAGUACUGUCCUAGGGAGCACUGUCCUAGGGAGCACUGUCCUAGGGAGCACUGUCCUCGGGAGCACUGCCCUCGGGAGCACUGUCCUAGGGAGCACUGUCCUCGGGAGCACUGUCCUGGGAGCACUGUCCUUGGGAGCACUGUCCUUGGGAGCACUGUCCUGGGGAGCAUUGUCCUAGGGAGCACUGUCCUGGGAGUACUGUCCCAGGGAGCAUUAGGAGGUUCUUUCUAGAAAACUUCACUGUGGGGACAGGUAGCCCUGUAGUGCCAAGAGCAAACUCAAUCAGCGAUAGCAAACAAAACCAGUCACAGAGCACUUACUCUGUUUUCUUUACCCUGCUCCCAUCUGCUUAGGAUGAACCCCUUUCUGUGGCCAAGACACCAGGAUGUUUCCUUGCCCAUCUCUGGUUUAAAAGGUCAGCCGCACCCCCAAGAAAAUCUCCUGGGUAGGCGCCGUGACUGAAGAAACAGCCCGAGCAACCGUUUGAUACCUAGCCCUGUCACUUUCAAGUCUGCUGUUCGAAUCCUGGGAUAGACCAAUGAAAAGACACAGUCGGAUGUCCUACAGGGCAGUGUGCUGUGGCUUCAAUUGGGAACGUCAUGGGUCUCGUUCCUUAUAAGCUGAUUAAAAUGUUUUCUUUCUUUCAUAAUUUACCCACAAGCCUUAAUUAAAGCAUCAAAAGAUAUGUAUUUGGACCUAUAAAGUCAUAAUAAGCCUAAGCAAAAGGAACUUCCAUUGAGCCUCUGCAUCUCGGGAAACGCUCUUUAAAGUGGCCGUAUUGGAGUUAAAUUGGACAGUACUUUUCUUCAGAGAGGUUAAACUCC
rnacentral:lncRNA from 1 species